rnacentral:lncRNA from 1 species
UGGUUUAUUGCGUUAACUGCUCAUAUGUGUUCGUAUUUGAGAGAUUUCAAUUUCUAUAUGCUCAGGAGAAAAUAUAGUUUAUUUGGAUAUUUUCAUAUGGAUUUAUGGAAUGUUAGAUGAUUUUAUAAUCGAUUUACGGAUUUAAUUGCGUAUAUUUAUAUUUAUUUAUUAAUUAUUUGACUUCCGUAAAACCGUCCACUCGUAACGGGGUAGCAAAUUUUCUUCCCGGAAGUUUCAACAAAACUCACCUUUAGCCUAAUUUGAAUAUUCCGGACAUUUUUCGUGUUUUGACUUUUUCGAUCCGGAGUACGGUUUUCCCCGGAGUCGGUCCGGCGGAGUUUUUCGGGUAUUUUAAUUGUUGAUAAUUAUCCAGUUUGUCUCG